AGCAGCGUGGCUCAGUGGAAAGAGCACGGGCUUGGGAGCCAGAGGUCAUGGGUUCGAAUCCUGGCUCUGCCA
rnacentral:tRNA from 1 species